rnacentral:rRNA from 1 species
UACGAAGGGUGCAAGCGUUGUUCGGAUUUAUUGGGCGUAAAGCGCGCGCAGGCGGAUUGGCAAGUCAGGUGUGAAAUCUCGAGGCUUAACCUCGAAAUUGCGCCUGAAACUACGAGUCUAGAAUCCUGGAGAGGGAAGGGGAAUUUCUCAUGUAGGGGUAAAAUCCGUAGAUAUGAGAAGGAACACCAGAGGCGAAGGCGCCUUCCUGGACAGGUAUUGACGCUGAGGUGCGAAAGCGUGGGGAGCAAACAGG